CUCCCCUACGCUUCCCACUUUGAUGCUAACUUUCUUCAUGCUCAAGAAGUUUUUGCAUGAGAUUUUUCAUGCCAAAGAGGUCUUCUCCCUCCCUUUCUCACAUCCAAAUUUGAUUUGAUUUUGAUAAAAGAAAGAUUUUAAAAUUGAUUUCAACGCAUUCCUUAUGAAGAGAAUUUGUUCUUAUCCAAAUCACUCCACACGCCACCUUAUUUUUUUCUCCUUAUGUGUGUGACAUUUUGAAGAGAUUUUGCAUAAAAAAAUAGUUGGAUAACUAAUUUAUCAUAAAAAUAUAUGGGAAGGGGUG
rnacentral:lncRNA from 1 species